UCUUACUUCAGAAUAUACAUUUUAAAAACAAUGUUUUUUUCAGAAUUUGGUGAAUUAUGAACAGUGGGGUUUUGCUAUGUUUUAUUCCAAAUUUGGUAUUAAUCUUGUAAUGCUACAACUUUAUACCUAAUAUAAAUAUUACUGCUUUCAUCUCCUAAAUCAAAAGAUUUAGAAACUUGUUCUCAUAUUGAAACAAUUUCAUACUCAAAUUCUUUCCAGCUAGCCAAACCGGAAUCAGAAUCUAAACAACUCUUGUCUCUUGCUAGUUUCGAAACAGGCUUCUAAAUAUAUAUAUUUAUUGAAAUGAACAUCUGUUUAGAUGAUUUUGACGUAUCUGGGGCGGUUGUUGUUUCGGUAAAGGUGAAAAAAGUUUACAGAAUUUAUGUGAUUUAUACAGUUCUACAGCCUUUUGUUUUCUCGAGCUUGAAGCCCUGCAGUAACAUCCAGAACACCCACACAAUUCACAGACAAUAAUGCCGUGCAACCUUAGAUUGUUCAAUUCCAACAGGCACCUGUCAGAAUGUUGCAGCCCUGUCGUGGAAUGGGAAAUUUCUAUUCAAUUGCCCUCUCUAGAGUCAGCUUUCGUAGGGAGCGUUACAUGGACCCAAUGUCAGGUAGGAACUACUUCUGUUGAACACAGGUUACUUUCUGUCAAAAACUGUUAAUGCUAUAUUGUGAAUUAAAGUUGAAAGUGCAUUUUGAAAAAGUUUGGAGAUUGUAUGUAGCUCAGGUGGUAAGCAACAUAAAGGACAUUGAUUCUAGCCCAAUGCAUCAAUGCAAAUGAAUUGUUAUUUAGUUAUUCAAGAAACUGAAAGAAUUGCUUAAUCAAUAAAAAUAAUUUAAUAAUAAGCAGCAUUACAUAAUUGUUACUAAUUUGGAGAUGAAAAAUAAAAUUGGUCUGUACAUGCACUUAUAUUUCACCAGUGAAAAUCCAUUUUUACAAUAACAAACCAGUUCACCAAGAUCCUUAUUUUUACAUCUUGCAUACAUGAACGAUAACCUGUAAUUCAUCUCCCUAAAGUGCCAGCAAGACGUGUUUAAAAAGGCAAGAAGUAGCAGUGGUGUGGGGUUUUAAUUGAAGCUCCCUCUCACCAAGCGCAGCGCUAUAGGCUCAGUGUCAGGACCCGCUGCGGCUGAGGCACCCUCUCAGGCGCGGGACGGCUGCAGCGGCGAAGGGCCUUCUAAUUGCACUCCGCGGAGAGCGAACACCCCUGUGGAUAAAAAUGAAAGAGCGCCCGGCCCGGCUUCAUCUCUAUUGUGCAAAAAUAAAUACAUACAGUCGACGCCCAGGGUGUGAAAUAACACACCAGCCGUCGGAUUUCACUGGUCAUUUCACCCUCAGCUGCAGAGCCCAAAACGAUAUUGUCUUGAACGGUGAGAAAAGCGAGACUAUUGUGUUUUUUAAGUGGGAACCUUGCUAAGGCUUUUAAUGCAGGUUGUCUGUGGUAAUCCUUUCUCGGUAGCGGGAUUGUAUGAUAUCAGGAAAUGGAUAAUAGAAUUUGUCUGUUUUGUGACUUACGAGGAGGUCUUCCCAAACAAAAGAUAAUUGUGUAGUUAAAUAUUAGAAAGCAAUGUGGGAAACCAUGACAUUUUCCUUCUACUAUAGUGUAUCUCAUUUGAACGUUGAAUGUGUUCAGGAUUUAGUCAAUUUUUCAGUCUUAUUGUUCCGUUAAUUAAAAAAAAUUAAUAUCUAUACAUCAAUAAAUUCAUAUUAUUUCUUACUUUAUACAUUCUUUAGCAUUCAUAAACUGCAUGAACUCAUGCAAAGUUGUAUUAGAGUAUUAGCCAUCACUUGGCCAAACAAAUGCCUCAUGUAUUUAAAAAAGACAGGUAAGCAUUUCAAGACAUUAAUGUUGUUUUGCACUUUAAGCUUUUUAUUCUGCCCUCAUAAACAUCAUCUCUGACUUCUCUAAAUAACUAGCUUGUCAUCCAAACAAGAGUGUUAAUGCGAGUCCUUUGACAACUGUCUGAUUUAUUUUCCAAGACGACCACGACGGUGGCUGAUGUUUUCUCUUUUUUUCCCCUUACACACAAUUUAGCAGCCACCCGUUUAAGUGGCAUUGUCCUGAACAGCGUGGCAAGCAGAGAGAUGUGGGCCGUCUGCUUCUUGUCACUUCCUAUUAUUAAGAAGGCACUCCGUGGCACCUGGGGGAAUGCCAGUCUCCACUGCUUCCGUCAGAAAUCUGCAUAACGCUGCCUGAUGGCUGUGGCCGUCCAGACGUCCAAACACAACCUGUCAUGUCUCAGUGUUACCCAGAAUGCUGCUAGCAGCGCAGGGCCUGGGGAUGCUUUCCAGCGCCCCAACACUCGAUGUCUCCAUCAGCCACACUAAUCCAGCUCUACAAAUCGGAGACGUCACAGGGCAUAUCUUUACUGCCAGGAUUACAUCCUGCCAGACCUUUCGCAAUCCAUUAGAUCCUGGAGGUACAUCAGAGAGAAAUAAAACCUGUGGAAUUCCAGGCAGACGCAGGUGUCAGGAUCAUAAGGUGUCAUCUCCAAAGGAGCUUGAUGUGUAGUUUGUGACAGAGAUUGGCAAGUUACGAUGAUGGCGUCGCUUGAGACGUGGAGGAUUUAAUUGAUACGAGAGGUGUUGCCUGCUUCUCUGGAGCUCAGCAGGGUUGUGUGGAGAACGUGACGGCAACAUGCAGCUCCCUGAAUCGAACAUGAUGAUAGAGUUAAACAGGAAGGGUUCACCGCACCUCAAGGAGGCCUAUCUUUCUAUUCUCUUCUUUUUGUCAGACGCCGCACCUGGGAGACCGUUUUGAAGGCCCCUUGUCUUUCAGAAAGAAGACCAGGUUGUCAUUUAUCACCUUCUCCAAGGUGACCCCUGUUUCUCAAAAACCUCUCUUCACCCUCUGGAGUGUUAAGUGGACGUAUGAGAGCCCUUAGCCAGUUCUCUCCUCAGAAAACAGAGAGAUUGUCAGCCUUUUGGGAAAAUGGAAGUGUCUAAAAGUACAAGAGUCCCACUUGAUGAUGAUGAGUGCUGUGUUCAACUUGACAUAAACAGAUCUCAUUGCUGGCCUCAAUGACAUUAAAUGUAGAACUGGUUAGCUUAGGAUUGGUUUACAUUUUAAUGAUCUAUAUGCUGUUACAAGGUUCAUUGACUGUGAAGUAAGCUUACCAUUAACAAUGGGUAAAAAUGUUAUUUUUUGAAAAUGUGCAAUUAGAUACAACAACACAAAUGAAUAAAUAGACCCAUUUGAGGUUUUUAGCAGGACUGUUGGUAACCAUCCCAAAGAGAUGCCAUUUUUGUCAAGUCACAUCUUAUUCAAUUCAAGUAAAUUUAUAUUGCACAGUG